GAAGACAUGAGAAAGAGGGCCAAGAGUGCA
rnacentral:piRNA from 1 species